UACGGAGGGGGCUAGCGUUGUUCGGAAUUACUGGGCGUAAAGCGCACGUAGGCGGCUUGGUAAGUUAGAGGUGAAAGCCUGGAGCUCAACUCCAGAAUUGCCUUUAAGACUGCCGAGCUAGCAGGUGAGAGAGGUGAGUGGAAUUCCGAGUGUAGAGGUGAAAUUCGUAGAUAUUCGGAAGAACACCAGUGGCGAAGGCGGCCUUCUGGACCAAAACUGACGCUCAUGCACGAAAGCGUGGGGAGCAAACAGG
rnacentral:rRNA from 1 species